GCUUAACGCGAAGAACCUUACCAGGUCUUGACAUCCUCUGACAACCCUAGAGAUAGGGCUUUCCCUUCGGGGACAGAGUGACAGGUGGUGCAUGGUUGUCGUCAGCUCGUGUCGUGAGAUGUUGGGUUAAGUCCCGCAACGAGCGCAACCCUUGAUCUUAGUUGCCAGCAUUUAGUUGGGCACUCUAAGGUGACUGCCGGUGACAAACCGGAGGAAGGUGGGGAUGACGUCAAAUCAUCAUGCCCCUUAUGACCUGGGCUACACACGUGCUACAAUGGAUAGUACAAAGGGCUGCAAGACCGCGAGGUGGAGCUAAUCCCAUAAAACUAUUCUCAGUUCGGAUUGUAGGCUGCAACUCGCCUACAUGAAGCCGGAAUCACUAGUAAUCGCGGAUCAGCAUGCCGCGGUGAAUACGUUCCCGGGUCUUGUACACACCG
rnacentral:rRNA from 1 species